ACUAAAUUCUAAUUUCCCACCUUACUUAAACAUUCUUUUGGAAAAAAUGAAACCUAACCGCAAACACAGAUCUCUCCCUUCAUCUCUCAUCUUGUUUCCUCUUCUUCUCUUCAUCCCCACUCAUUGAUGAAAAGGCCGAUGCCAAUAAUCCGGUCAUCAGAUCUAAGGAAGAACAUGCAGCUGGUGUUGAAGAAGUGUGAGCCCAUUUUUUAAUUUGAUGAGGAAAAUGGAGUGAGCCAAGGAGGAGGACGGCGAGGAAUUUGAUGACGAAUUGGAGGAGUCUGAUGAUGAUGAAGUGGCGGAAAAUGAAGAAGAAGAAGAUGAAGAUGAGGAGGAGGAGGAAGAAGAAGAAAAUCUAGAAGAAGAAGAAGGUGGAGGCAAGAACGAAAUCGAGGAUGGUUUCUUUAAUAUAAAGGCUACGGAAGCAGAGGAAUAUGAGAAUGACAAGGAGGAUGAAGAGGAUGAAGAAGAAGAUGGUGAAGAUGAGGAGGAAGAGGAUGAUGCCCAGGAGGUGAGGCUGGUCUUUUAUUUACUUGGUUUUGGUUUAAGAAUUUUGCUGAUUUUUGAAUCUUUAAUUUUCGGGUUUUUAUUUGGUGGUUUGUAUCAAAUCUCCGAAAGGAAACCAAGCAAGGGAAGAAACAGCAAUGAAUCCUAUACUAUGGCACGAAGUAGCUGCAGUCUCUAGAAUGGCAGCUCUUGGGUUGGGCAUAUAUGGUGCCGAUGGCUUUAAACCCAGAAACCCAGUUUACAAAGAGGUUUGGCAAAUGGCCUCUCCGUACCAUUUGUUUCACACAGCAGCUCUGCUUGAAGUUACCUUCUUGAAUAUUGUAAAUAACGUAUUCAAUUUGUAGUGAUUCAAAAUCUUCAAUGAUAGCUACUCCGUGUACGUAAUUUCGCUGAGAGUGUUCAAUAUAAGUGGAACUAGAAUUCUGUUUCAAGUCAGGACGGUGCUGUAUCAGUUUAUGAGGUUGCUGAUGGAGGAGCUGGAGAUUGGUUUGGAGGCUUUGUAUCUUUUAUUGGACAGCAAGCUGAUGAAGCCGUUUAAGACCAGUUAUCAGCUGUCAAUUUCUCCAGUUUGGCAAUUAUAGGAAACUGUGCGUCAUUCUUAUUCCAAUGGCAAUGCGAAUGUGAAUGGAAAUAGAAAUGGAGUGAACGGAAAGGACUAUCAAGUACUGAAUGACUACCAGAAGAGCUGCUGGUACAAGGAAUAAAUCGAAGAAAACUUAAGAUGGAGCUUUGCUUUUAAUAGCUGCCGAAUCAGUGGCUGUGGGACAUGAUGGAUGAGUUCGUGUACCGGUUUCAGAGCUUCUGUCAGUUUAGGGCUAAGAUGAAGAACAAGACUGAGCAGGAGAUUACUUUUCUCAGGGAGUUUGAUCAAGUCUUGGAAGGAGGGAAAUAUUUCAGCUAACGAGAAAUUCGUGCAAGUUUAUAUUUGCUGAUGAUGGAGUGAAGAGAGAAUUAAAGGAGAUUUUUAGUUCACCAGAACAGAAGCUCGACCAAUCUUUCGAAUUUAGGGGCAUAUGCAGAAACGCUGAUCAUUUCAUAAGUUGUAUUAUCAACUGUUAUUGACAUCUUUAGAAUGAUAUUUUUUUUCUUCAAGUAAUGCAGAAUCUUCAUUGGUUCCUAA